rnacentral:rRNA from 1 species
GAUGAACGCUGGCGGCGUGCCUAAUACAUGCAAGUCGAGCGAAGAAACGAGGAACUUGCUCCUCUGACGUUAACGGCGGACGGGUGAGGAACACGUGGGGAAACUACCGAGAAGACUAGGAUAACUUCGGGAAACCGUAGCUAAGACCGGAUAAUAUAUUUAACAUCAUAGUUCAAUAUUGAAAAACUGAUUUACUUUCAAUUAUAGAUGGAUCCGGGCCGCAUUAGCUAGUUUGUAAGGGAACGGCUUGCCAAGGCAACGAUGCGUAGCCGACACGAACGGGAGAUCGGCCACCCUGGAACUGAGACACGGCCCAGACUCCUAAGGGAGGACGCAGUCGGGAAUCUUCCGCAAUGCGCGAAAGCCUAACGGAGCACAGUCGAGUGAGUGCUGAAGGUCUUAGGAUCCUAAAACUCUGUUAUUAGGGAAGACCAAAUGUGUAAGUAAAUAUGCACGUCUUGACGGUACCUUAUCAGAAAGCCACGGCUAAAUACGUG